AACGAACGCUGGCGGCGUGCUUAACACAUGCAAGUCGAACGGAAAGUCCCUGCUUUGUUGGGCUCCUCGAGUGGCGAACGGGUGAGUAACACGUGAGUAACCUACCCUUGCCGUUAGGGUAACUUCAUGAAACUUGGUCUAAUACCGCCUAGGAUCUCCUGCUGCAUGGUGGGGGCUGGAAAGUUUCGGCGGUUGGUGAUGGACUCGCGGCUUAUCCGCUUGGUGGUGGGGUAGUGGCUUACCAAGGCUUUGACGGGUAGCCGGCCUGAGCGGGUGACCGGACACAUUGGGACGGGAAUACGGCACAGACCCCUACGGGAGGCAGCAGUGGGGAAGAGUGCACAAUGGGCGGAAGCCUGAUGUAGCAAAGCAGCGUGCGGGAUGACGGCCUUCGGGUUGUAAACCGAUUUCGCCUGUGACGAAGCGUGAGUGACGGUACUGGGUAAAGAAGCACCGGCUAACUACGUG
rnacentral:rRNA from 1 species